rnacentral:rRNA from 1 species
ACUCCUACGGGAGGCAGCAGUGGGGAAUAUGUGCGCAAUGGGGGAAACCCUGACGCAGCAACGCCGCGUGAGUGAGGAAGGUCUUCGGAUUGUAAAACUCUUUUAUCUGAGAAAAAUGUGUAUGGAGCUAAUACCCCAUGCAGUGAUGGUAUCAGAUGAAUAAGCACCGGCUAACUUCGUGCCAGCAGCCGCGGUAAUACGAAGGGUGCAAGCGUUAUUCGGAAUCAUUGGGCGUAAAGCGCGCGCAGGCGGAUUUGUAAGUCAGGUGUGAAAUCUCGAGGCUCAACCUCGAAACUGCGCCUGAAACUACAAGUCUAGAAUGUCGGAGGGGGCAGGGGAAUUUCACGUGUAGGGGUAAAAUCCGUAGAGAUGUGAAGGAACACCGGAGGCGAAGGCGCCUGCCUGGACGACUAUUGACGCUGAGGCGCGAAAGCGUGGGGAGCAAACAGGAUUAGAUACCCUGGUAGUCCACGCCGUAAACGAUGAGAACUAGUUAUUGGAGGUAUUGACUCCUCCAGUGACGCAGCUAACGCAUUAAGUUCUCCGCCUGGGGAGUACGGUCGCAAGACUAAAACUCAAACAAAUUGACGGGGGCCCGCACAAGCGGUGGAUUAUGUGGUUUAAUUCGAAGCAACGCGCAGAACCUUACCUAGGCUUGAACUCCUACGAACCUGCUUUAAUCGGCGGGGUGUCCGCAAGGAAAUGUAGUGAGAGGUGCUGCAUGGCUGUCGUCAGCUCGUGUUGUGAAAUGUUGGGUUAAGUCUCGCAACGAGCGCAACCCCUAUCGUCUGUUGCCAGCAUUAAGUUGGGCACUCUGACGAGACUGCCUGGGUUAACCAGGAGGAAGGUGGGGAUGACGUCAAGUCCUCAUGGCCCUUAUGUCUAGGGCUACACACGUAAUACAAUGGCGCGUACAGAGGGAAGCGAACCUGCAAAGGGGAGCAAAUCUCAAAAAGCGCGCCUCAGUUCGGAUUGGAGUCUGCAACUCGACUCCAUGAAGUUGGAAUCGCUAGUAA